rnacentral:snRNA from 1 species
AUCGCUUCUCGGUUUUUUGGCUAAGAUCAAGUGUAGUAUCUGUUCUUAUCAGUUUAAUAUUUCUUUAGUCCUAGUUAUGUUCCAUGCUUAACAUUUGACACACGUUGUCAUUUAUAUUUACGCACGAAAA